rnacentral:rRNA from 1 species
GACGAACGCUGGCGGCGUGCUUAACACAUGCAAGUCGAACGGAAAGGCCCUGCUUUUGUGGGGUGCUCGAGUGGCGAACGGGUGAGUAACACGUGAGUAACCUGCCCUUGACUUUGGGAUAACUUCAGGAAACUGGGGCUAAUACCGGAUAGGAGCUCCUGCUGCAUGGUGGGGGUUGGAAAGUUUCGGCGGUUGGGGAUGGACUCGCGGCUUAUCAGCUUGUUGGUGGGGUAGUGGCUUACCAAGGCUUUGACGGGUAGCCGGCCUGAGAGGGUGACCGGCCACAUUGGGACUGAGAUACGGCCCAGACUCCUACGGGAGGCAUCAGUGGGGAAUAUUGCACAAUGGGCGGAAGCCUGAUGCAGCAACUCCGCGUGCGGGAUGACGGCCUUCGGUUUGUAAACCGCUUUCGCCUGUGACGAAGCGUGAGUGACGGUAAUGGGUAAAGAAGCACCGGCUAACUACGUG